rnacentral:misc_RNA from 1 species
CGUUCCUUGAGAUCCUCACAUGAACAAAACUAGAAUCACUUGUGUACAGUAGCAGCACCUAGUGUAACGUAGCUGUCGUUCCUUGAGAUCAUCCUCACAUGAACAAAACUAGAAUCACUUGUGUACAGUAGCAGCACCUAGUGUCACAUAGGUAUCAUUCCUUGAGAUCAUCCACACAUGAACAAAACUAGAAUCACUUGUGUACAGUAGCAGCACCUAGUGUAACGUAGCUGUCGUUCCUUGAGAUCAUUUUCACAUUAAUGAAACUAGAAUCACUUGUGUACAGUAGCAGCACCUAGUGUAACGUAGGUAUCAUUCCUUGAGAUCAUCUUCACAUUAAUGAAACUAGAAUCACUUGUGUACAGUAGCAGCACCUAGUGUAACGUAGCUGUCGUUCCUUGAGAUCAUCCUCACAUGAACAAAACUAGAAUCACUUGUGUACAGUAGCAGCACCUAGUGUCACAUAGCUGUCGUUCCUUGAGAUCAUCUUCACAUUAAUGAAACUAGAAUCACUUGUGUACAGUAGCAGCACCUAGUGUAACGUAGGUAUCAUUCCUUGAGAUCAUCCACACAUGAACAAAACUAGAAUCACUUGUGUACAGUAGCAGCACCUAGUGUAACGUAGGUAUCAUUCCUUGAGAUCAUCUUCACAUUAAUGAAACUAGAAUCACUUGUGUACAGUAGCAGCACCUAGUGUAACGUAGCUGUCGUUCCUUGAGAUCAUCUUCACAUUAAUGAAACUAGAAUCACUUGUGUACAGUAGCAGCACCUAGUGUAACAUAGCUGUUGUUCCUUGAGAUCAUCCUCACAUUAAUGAAACUAGAAUCACUUGUGUACAGUAGGAGCACCUAGGGGAGGGGGGUAUUAGGCUCUGUCCCUGAAAACUUGACCAAAAAGUAUUUCUAAUAAUGAUAUUGAAAAAAAUUUCAUAGUACUGAGGCAGUCCUCCAAAUUUUUAAUUAUUUUAAGUUAUUAAUACAUCACCAGAUCUGGCUAAUAGUAUUGAUAAGUUUGAUAGUAAUAACACACACACACACUUCUUAUAAAAUUAAUUAAAAACUAUUACAAAUAAAAUUCUCUUUUCUUACCUAUAAAACACAAGAUUAAUAAUAAAGACAAGAAAAAAACCCAUAAUGCAGUGGAACUCGGUUUAAAAGAAAUGUUCACUAAAUUGUACAUUAAAAAUUAGCUUGUCUAGGAAACAACUUGUGACCAUGUGACUGCUACACUUUCGUGCUAGUUGUCCAAGAAAAUGAAAAGAACCUUUAAAAUGACUCGCACCCUUUAUAUACAGUUGUGGUUUGAUUAAGCAUUAUCUGUACUGUUUGAGUGAUAAGCUAACAAUAUAUAUAUAUAUAUAUAUAUAUAUAAUCAGAUUGUGGGUAUUCGUCGUGUCGUGUCCACCGAUACCCGUGAAUUGUGAUCUGAAUGAAAGAUCAAAUUUUGGGGUUCUGAGUAUUUUUGAUAUGAUGGAUGUGGUAAAAAAAGUUGUUUUUAAGUAUUAUUUCUUACUUUCAAAGGCAUACAAUUUUGUUGAUGUUAGACUUGGAUACGUCAUGACAGUGUUUACAAAAACAUUUUGAGUGUAUGGACCUUCACUCAUUAGAGAUAGCUUAACUUCAUCCUACUGAUUAAAAUAAAAAAAUAGUGUUCAAACUUUUUUUUCAAUAUAUUUCUGUUUGUUAGAAUCAUAAAAAUAAUUU